ACGAACGCUGGCGGCGUGCCUAACACAUGCAAGUCGAACGGGUUCCGCAAGGGACCAGUGGCGAACGGGUGCGUAACACGUGAGGAACCUGUCCAUCGGCGGGGGAUAGCCGGCCCAACGGCCGGGUAAUACCGCGUACGACCAUCGGGGGGCAUCUCCUGGUGGUGAAAGCAGCAAUGCACCGAUGGAGGGCCUCGCGGCCUAUCAGCUAGUUGGUGAGGUAAUGGCUCACCAAGGCGACGACGGGUAGCUGGUCUGAGAGGAUGAUCAGCCACAUUGGGACUGAGACACGGCCCAGACUCCUACGGGAGGCAGCAGUGGGGAAUAUUGCGCAAUGGGCGAAAGCCUGACGCAGCGACGCCGCGUGUGGGAUGACGGCCUUCGGGUUGUAAACCACUGUCGGGAGGGACGAAGUUCUGACGGUACCUCCAAAGGAAGCACCGGCUAACUCUGU
rnacentral:rRNA from 1 species